rnacentral:rRNA from 1 species
CCUACGGGGGGCAGCAGUGAGGAAUAUUGGUCAAUGGGCGCGAGCCUGAACCAGCCAAGUAGCGUGAAGGAUGACUGCCCUACGGUUUGUAAACUUCUUUUAUAAAGGAAUAAAGUGAGGCACGUGUGCCUUUUUGUAUGUACUUUAUGAAUAAGGAUCGGCUAACUCCGUGCCAGCAGCCGCAGUAAUACGGAGGAUCCGAGCGUUAUCCGGAUUUAUUGGGUUUAAAGGGAGCGUGGAUGGGUUGUUAAGUCAGUUGUGAAAGUUUGCGGCUCAACCGUAAAAUUGCAAUGGAUACUGGCAGCCUUGAGUACAGUUGAGGUAGGCGGAAUUCGUGGUGUAGCGGUGAAAUGCUUAGAUAUCACGAAGAACACCGAUUGCGAAGGCAGCUUACUAAACUGACACUGACAUUGAUGCUCGAAAGUGUGGGUAUCAAACAGGAUUAGAUACCCCUGUAGUC